rnacentral:rRNA from 1 species
CGCGAAUGGCUCAUUACAACAGCCAUAGUUUAUUGGAUCUUAGAGUCCUACUUGGAUACCUGUGGUAAUUCUAGAGCUAAUACACGCAAUCAAGCCCCAACCUUACGGGAGGGGCGCAUUUAUUAGAACAAAACCAAUUGGCUUCGGCCAUAAAUUGGUGAAUCUGAAUAACUACGCAGAUCGCACGGUCUCGCACCGGCGACAUAUCCUUCAAGUGUCUGCCUUAUCAACUUUCGAUGGUAGUUUACAUGACUACCAUGGUUGUAACGGGUAACGGAGAAUAAGGGUUCGACUCCGGAGAGGGAGCCUGAGAAACGGCUACCACAUCCAAGGAAGGCAGCAGGC